UAGAGUUUGAUCCUGGCUCAGAAUGAAUGCUGGCGGCGUGCCUAACACAUGCAAGUCGUACGAGAAAGACUGUUUUCGGAUGGUCGAGUAAAGUGGCGCACGGGUGAGUAACGCGUAGGUAACCUACCCUUGUAUUGGGGAUAACAGGACGAAAGUUCUGCUAAUACCGGAUGUGACCUGGGGCUGGAGGGUUUCAGGUUAAAGUGGGCCUCUCGAAGAAGCUCAUGUACAGGGAUGGGCCUGCGUCCUAUCAGCUUGUUGGUGGGGUAAUGGCCUACCAAGGCGACGACGGGUAGCUGGUCUGAGAGGAUGAUCAGCCACACUGGCACUGGAACACGGGCCAGACUCCUACGGGAGGCAGCAGUGAGGAAUUUUGCGCAAUGGGAGCAAUCCUGACGCAGCAACGCCGCGUGGGUGAAGAAGGCCUUCGGGUCGUAAAGCCCUGUCAGGUGGGAAGAAGGGUCCUAUCAGGAAAGGGGUGGGAUUUGACGGUACCACCAGAGGAAGCACCGGCUAACUCCGUGCCAGCAGCCGCGGUAAUACGGAGGGUGCGAGCGUUAUUCGGAAUUACUGGGCGUAAAGCGCCGUGUAGGCGGGGGAGCAAGUCUGAUGUGAAAGCCCCGGGCUUAACCCGGGAAGUGCAUUGGAAACUGUUUUUCUUGAGUACUGGAGAGGAAGGGGGAAUUCCCGGUGUAGAGGUGAAAUUCGUAGAGAUCGGGAGGAAUACCAGCGGCGAAGGCGCCCUUCUGGACGGUUACUGACGCUGAGACGCGAAAGCGUGGGGAGCAAACAAAAUGAGAUACCCUGGUAGUCCACGCUGU
rnacentral:rRNA from 1 species